AAUCCAUAGGUUAAUGAGGCGAACCGGGGGAACUGAAACAUCUAAGUACCCCGAGGAAAAGAAAUCAACCGAGAUUCCCCCAGUAGCGGCGAGCGAACGGGGAGGAGCCCAGAGCCUGAAUCAGCAUGUGUGUUAGUGGAAGCGUCUGGAAAGGCGCGCGAUACAGGGUGACAGCCCCGUACACAAAAGCGCAUGUGCUGUGAGCUCGAUGAGUAGGGCGGGACACGUGGUAUCCUGUCUGAAUAUGGGGGGACCAUCCUCCAAGGCUAAAUACUCCUGACUGACCGAUAGUGAACCAGUACCGUGAGGGAAAGGCGAAAAGAACCCCGGCGAGGGGAGUGAAAAAGAACCUGAAACCGUGUACGUACAAGCAGUGGGAGCCCCACCACCAAAGCAUUUGCUGUACCGCGUUGACGGAGCGA
rnacentral:rRNA from 3 species